rnacentral:lncRNA from 1 species
AAAAUCCUAAAUCCCAAAGACCCCUAAGCAACGCCCCAGCUAUUGUUCUUCUUCUCCAACCAACGAUUCAACCCCAACUCGCCUGAAACUCAGGCGAGUUCACUCACACGCGCCCUUAUCUCACCACGUCACCACCCCUAACGGUCUUUGACAGAUUCCCUUAUCUCUCUUCUCACGUGUUGGAAGCCUCUAAAAGGCAUAUGCUGGAUGAAUGGGGAGCGUGAUAUCGAUUUCAAUUGAUCCCAGCCCUUCAUUUAUCAGGUUUGUGCUUGAUAAGUAGAGGAAAUUUUUGAAGAAGAAAGGGAGUUUUUUCAGAAGAAGAAUUUUUGGGAGAAAUAUUGGAGAGAAUUUCGGAAAAGAAUUUGAUAGGCAGAAAAAUUAGGUUCCAAAAAAUAUUUUUCUUUUCUUCUACUAUUUUUUUCUCUUUUGUUUCUGGUCUAAAAAAGGGCGAAAAAUAAUGUUGAGUGUUCAAUCAUUUCAUUUUGAUAUUGACUAUUGUUAGGAGUUAGAAAUAUAGAAGAGUCUGUUUUCCAUUUCGAUUCUAGUUUGGUUAAAAAUGGAGGUCCUUGAAGUUUAAAUCUGCUGCUAUUGGUUAGGCUGUAGCUGCUCCCAUUUAAGUUCUGUUGUGGGUUAUUUCUCAGAAAUUAGAGAUCCGUUUCUCUCUUCUUUUGUUGUAUUGCUUUUCAAGGUACGAAAUUUUAAACUCUUUCUAUGUAUUAAGUGAGUUAAGAAUAGGCAAGAAAAUCUCUUCUAUCAAACAAUGUUGAUUCUGGUCCGUUUCUCCUACUGAUGAUUAUGCUCUUGGUUGUUCACUGUUUGAACAAAAAUCAGAGGAGUUCUUAUGAUUUAAGAACUGAAAAUUUGAUUUAGUGUGGCUUGUGUGAUCGUAUGUGUUAUGUUUUGAUGUCAGUCAAUUUGUUACCGCGAAUCUAUUUUGUGAAUUAGUGUAUGAGACUUUGGUAUGUGUUGACAUGUCAUCAUGCCUUCGUUGGAUUAUUAUAUGUAGUAUAGAUGUGUAUAAUGUUAGUGAAAGAGAAGCUCAUGAUUUCAAUGUUAAUGGCUUUUAUCAAAUUUUUCCAUUACUAUCUUAGAUCUGCUGUCUCUGUUUGUGAUCCUCGUUGAAAACUUGAAGUUUAUUUCCUUUAAUUUGUCUUGUUGUGGGGAAGAGUUUAAACUCAUGUUUGGUGAAAUAGAAAUUGGACUUAUUGCCCCUGCUUUUUUGACCAUCUGAUGUUGAGAACGUAUCUUGAGGAUCUGCUUAAUUUCCCUGAAGUUUAUAUGGUAGGAUGGAACCGUGCAUUUGAGUGAAAGUUUUCUCCUCACUGUUCGAAACCUUUUGGUAUAUUGUAGGAAUCCUUUAGUCGAUCAAAUCAGCUUAUUCUUUUAGUUCCUAAAGGAUUGAAGUUUGCUUGAUUAAGUGAGUUGAAUACCCUUCCUCUAAAAGUAAAGUUCUGUGGCGUGUUAUUUUAAUAGUGCAGAGGCUUUUGACAUAUGGUAUGAAUUUUGGUAUAUGUCUUUGGUUAAAAGCAAGUUUUCCUUGUUAAAUCUGCAAAUUUCAGGGUCGUAUCUAUAGGAAAUAUGAAUUCAUUUUUCCAUAGUAAUGAUUCUGAGCAGGUUACUUGUUACAGCCUUGCCCCUUUCUUUGGUUUUUCACGUUAUAAUGUUCAUAAUAAAAUCUCAUGUUGGCGAUCCCUUGUCGCGUUAAACUUCGAAAUUCUUGUACUGGAAAGUUUAGCGUUCCGAGUUUGUUCUGUUGGUUUGGUAUGGGAACAUAAUCUUUUUUCUUUAUCAUGUGUGAUCAUAAUUGUAAUUCUUUUCUUAUUUAGUGUUUGAACCUGUGCUGCUAUUGGUUUUGUUUGUGUGUGACCCAUCAGUUGGCAGAAAUGAAGGCUUACUGGUGCGACCAAGUUUGAAUUAAAUUGCACAGACCAAUUUUAAACUAAAUUCACUUGUUGAAUAAAAAGGCAUAAGAACUUGGUUCAUAAAAUGAAGCUCCUUGGAAUCUUGUAUCGUGUAACAUGGUCUACUGUUGGCUGCUUCUUCGUAAUUUGCUUGACGAAUGGGUUCCUCUUCGUAUUCCUGAAACGAUCCAUGUUCUCUGCCAAUAUGCUUCAAUAUCUGCUUGUAUUGCAAAUUUAUCAGUUUUGCUGAUUUCUAUUAGAGCUAUAAAAACCCAAUGCUUCAGAGGUUUGGCGGUUUAGAAAGAAGUGUUGUAUGAUUUUGGCAAAAUAAAUAUUCGUAGAAAAGACUUUAGGCGCGUUUAAAAUACAAUUGUGAUUGUGUACGCAUUCGCAUGACAUGGUUACAAUCCUAAAAACCAAUUUGGUGUAUGCGUUCACGCAACUUUAUCCAAACUUUUCUAAUAAUAAUAAAGCGUUAUUAAUUGUGGACACGUUCGCGUGACAUAAUUUUUGACGAGCCAAACAAAUAGGUACACAUAUGCGUGACCCGUUUCAAGAUAAUUUCUUAAUUAAAAUAGGCAAAUUCACAUAGGUUCUAAAAUCAGUAAUUAGACAAUUUAGUAAGCCAAGCAUGAUCAAAGCAACCGUGCUAAAACUACGGAACCCGGGAAUGCCUAACACCUUCUCGUGGGUUAACAGAAUUCCUUACUCGGAUUUCUGUGUUCGCGGACCAUAAAUAAGAGUCAAUUUCCUCAAUUCGGGAUUUUAAACCGGUGAUUUGGGACACCAUAAACUAUCCCAAGUGGCGACUUUGAUUGGAAAAAACUCCCUUAUAUCCUUUCCGGGGAUAGGAAAAGGGAGGUGUGAUAGGACCGGGCUACACGCCGCAGUAGGUGUAAUAAGGGUGGAUUGAUAUGGUGAAAUAAGGGUGAAAUCGUAUUGUACGGUGGGAUCAGGUUGCACGCCACAACAGAUGGAAUAAGGAUGGAUUGAUAUGGUGAAAUAAGGGUGACCUAUGAUACUGANNNNNNNNNNNNNNNNAUAUGUAUUAUUUACCGUUGUUGAUAUUGUUGCGGUGAAAUAAGAGAGGAUUUUUGUGUUGUCUGGUGGAAUCGGGUUGCACUCCGCAACAGCCUAUAUGUUUCCAUUUCUUGAGUUGUGUUGGUUUUUUCGGUAUUUGCAUUUGAACUGUUAAAGAUUGGUAAUUCUGGACGAAGUUGGUUCAUUCUUAAGGUUUUGGUUAUCAUUUUCAGUUGACUGCUUAAUUUUGUUCAGUAUUUCUAUUAUUCUGUCACUAUUAUAUAUACAGCGUACAGGUUAUUGUACAGGUGACCCGCCUUAGCCUCGUCACUACUUCGUCGAGGUUAGGCUCGGUACUUACCAGUACAUGGGGUUGGUUGUACUGAUACUACACUCUGCAUACUGUGCAGAUUUUAGAGUCGAUCCCAGCGACGGUUAUUAGCAUGCUCGGAUUGGACAUUUGCAGAGACUUGACGUACAACUGUUCAGUGCCCGCAGCUCCUUAAGUCCCCAUCCUUUU